UGUGGCUCAGUGGCAGAGCUCUUGCCUUGCAUGCAUAAGGCCUGGGUUCCAUCCUCAGCA
rnacentral:tRNA from 1 species